rnacentral:rRNA from 1 species
AGCGAACGCUGGCGGCAGGCCUAACACAUGCAAGUCGAGCGCCGUAGCAAUACGGAGCGGCAGACGGGAGAGUAACACGUGGGAACGUGCCCUUUGGUUCGGAGCAACCCAGGGAAACUUGGGCUAAUACCGGAUAAGCCCUUACGGGGAAAGAUUUAUCGCCGAAGGAUCGGCCCGCGUCUGAUUAGCUAGUUGGUGGGGUAAUGGCCCACCAAGGCGACGAUCAGUAGCUGGUCUGAGAGGAUGAUCAGCCUCACUGGGACUGAGACACGGACCAGACUCCUACGGGAGGCAGCAGUGGGGAAUAUUGGACAAUGGGCGCAAGCCUGAUCCAGCCAUGCCGCGUGGGUGAUGAAGGCCCUAGGGUUGUAAAGCCCUUUCGGCGGGGAAGAUAAUGACGGUACCCGCAGAAGAAGCCCCGGCUAACUUCGUGCCAGCAGCCGCCGCGG